rnacentral:rRNA from 1 species
AUUGAACGCUGGCGGCAGGCCUAACACAUGCAAGUCGAACGGUAACAGGAAACAUCUUGCUGUUUCGCUGACGAGUGGCGGACGGGUGAGUAAUGUCUGGGAAACUGCCUGAUGGAGGGGGAUAACUACUGGAAACGGUAGCUAAUACCGCAUAACGUCGCAAGACCAAAGAGGGGGACCUUCGGGCCUCUUGCCAUCGGAUGUGCCCAGAUGGGAUUAGCUAGUAGGUGGGGUAACGGCUCACCUAGGCGACGAUCCCUAGCUGGUCUGAGAGGAUGACCAGCCACACUGGAACUGAGACACGGUCCAGACUCCUACGGGAGGCAGCAGUGGGGAAUAUUGCACAAUGGGCGCAAGCCUGAUGCAGCAAUGCCGCGUGUAUGAAGAAGGCCUUCGGGUUGUAAAGUACUUUCAGCGGGGAGGAAGGGAGUAAAGUUAAUACCUUUACUCAUUGACGGUACCCGCAGAAGAAGCACCGGCUAACUCCGUG